UAAUCGGAUUUACUGGGCGUAAAGCGUGCGUAGGCGGCUUUUUAAGUCGGAUGUGAAGUCCCCGAGCUUAACUUGGGAAUUGCAUUCGAUACUGGGAAGCUAGAGUAUGGGAGAGGAUGGUAGAAUUCCAGGUGUAGCGGUGAAAUGCGUAGAGAUCUGGAGGAAUACCGAUGGCGAAGGCAGCCAUCUGGCCUAAUACCGACGCUGAGGUACGAAAGCAUGGGGAGCAAACAGGAUUAGAUACCCUGGUAGUCCAUGCCGUAAACGAUGUCUACUAGCCGUUGGGGCCUUUGAGGCUUUAGUGGCGCAGCUAACGCGAUAAGUAGACCGCCUGGGGAGUACGGUCGCAGGACUAAAACUCAAAUGAAUUGACGGGGGCCCGCACAAGCGGUGGAGCAUGUGGUUUAAUUCGAUGCAACGCGAAGAACCUUACCUGGCCUUGACAUACUAGAAACUUUCCAGAGAUGGAUUGGUGCCUUCGGGAAUCUAGAUACAGGUGCUGCAUGGCUGUCGUCAGCUCGUGUCGUGAGAUGUUGGGUUAAGUCCCGCAACGAGCGCAACCCUUUUCCUUACUUGCCAGCACUUCGGAUGGGAACUUUAAGGAUACUGCCAGUGACAACUGGAGGAAGGCGGGACGACGUCAAGUCAUCAUGG
rnacentral:rRNA from 1 species